rnacentral:lncRNA from 1 species
CAAAUAGCUUCAAUUAAGACUACUUGUUUAUUACCUCAACCAGAAAUCAAACCAAGUCCAAACCAGGGAAGCAAUUAACCAUACACCUACCUUCUCCUUUGCUUCCCAAAAACCAUUCUUAAUUUCUUUCAUUCUCUGUUCCAGAGAAACAAUGGAGGCGGAAAAUGAUCAAGCACAAGAAUUCAUUUUCAGGUCCAAACUCCCUGAUAUCCACAUCCCAAACCACCUCCCUUUACACACUUAUUGCUUUGAAAACCUUUCCCGAUUCAAAGACAAUCCCUGUUUGAUCAAUGGCCCUACCGGUGAAAUCCACACCUACGCGGAUGUUGAGCUCACAUCACGCAAAGUCGCUUCCGGCCUCAACAAGUUAGGCAUCAAACAAGGCGAUGUUAUAUUGCUGUUGCUCCAAAACUCGCCAGAAUUUGUGUUUGCGUUUCUCGGAGCAUCAAUUAUUGGUGCUAUUAGCACAACCGCAAACCCCUUCUACACUCCCGCUGAGGUCGCAAAACAAGCAACAGCAUCAAAGGCAAAGCUGAUAAUUACACAGGCAGUUUACGCCGAGAAAGUGCAAGAAUUCGUCAAGGAAAAUGUUCAUGUCAAAAUAGUGACCGUUGACUCUCCACCAGAAAACUACUUGCAUUUUUCAGAGUUGACAAAUUCUGAUGAGGAUGAUAUUCCUGCUGUCGAGAUUAACCCUGAUGAUGUCGUGGCACUCCCUUAUUCGUCAGGGACAACAGGUCUCCCUAAAGGUGUCAUGUUGACUCAUAAAGGGCUCGUUACUAGUGUGGCACAACAAGUUGAUGGAGAGAACCCUAACAUCUAUUUUCACGAGAAGGAUGUGAUUCUUUGUGUGUUGCCUUUGUUCCACAUCUACUCGCUCAAUGUGUUCCUUAGUGGGCUAAGAGUUGGUUCAGCAAUUUUGCUUAUGCAAAAAUUCGAGAUUGUUACGUUAAUGGAGCUUGUACAAAAAUAUAAGGUGACAAUUGCGCCAUUUGUCCCCCCUGUCGUCCUCGCAGUUGCAAAAUGUCCAGUCGUUGAUAAGUAUGAUCUUUCUUCCAUUCGGACCGUAAUGUCUGGCGCCGCACCAAUGGGGAAGGAGCUUGAGGAUACAGUAAGGGCUAAGCUGCCUAAUGCUAAACUUGGACAGGUACAGAGUUGAUCUACUUUUUAAUUAUUAUUUUUUAGUCUUUCUUGUUCUAUAGCACAAAAAAAAAAAAAAAAAAAACAAUUCUCUUGAAUCCUUGCAAAUUAGUAAUGUUAACAAUCCAAGGAAUUAUUUUGCUCCUUGUUUAUUUGUGAAGGGAUACGGAAUGACAGAGGCAGGACCCCUAUCGAUGUGCUUGGCAUUUGCAAAGGAACCCUUCGAAAUUAAAUCAGGUGCCUGUGGGACUGUUGUUAGAAACGCCGAGAUGAAGAUUGUUGACCCCGAUACCGGUAGAUCCCUGCCACGAAAUCAAGCCGGAGAGAUUUGCAUUAGAGGCAGCCAAAUCAUGAAAGGUACACGUUUCUACCAACUAUCUCCUUUAGGGUGGAAAUGGAUUGGUUUACCUUCUUUUUUUUUUAGUUAUAUAACAAACUAAAAUUGUUUCAAGAGAAGAAAGCACAUGUACCACAAAUAAGAGGAUUACCCCACGAGAGACUCCUCUAGUCAGUAAAAAGCAUCAAAACUGAACUAAAUAUUUGGUAAGGUUGACUAUUGGUGUGGUGGGCCUAGUGACUCCUCGUUUUUUUUUUUUUUUAAACAUUUGUAGUAAUCUGAACCACAUUCUGAGGUGAGGUUUGAGGAGGUAGCUAAACUUUUUAAGUUUUGGAUUUUUUUUUUUUUAGAAAUUAUUAAUUCAAGUUUUAUAAAUUUCAAGGCCACUAGAAACUUACAUGAUCGAUAAUUUUAAUUAGGGCCUGUGGAAUUAGUUGAGGUGCGCGCAAGCUGACCCGGACAUCCACGUUUAUCAUAAAAAAAAAAAAAAAAACUCAUUCCAGUAUAACAAUUAAAAAACCACACAGACACAUAUCCCAAAUGAAUUUUGGUUUUAACGCUUACUAAUGGCUAAAUUUUGGUGGAGGGUGGGUGGCCAGAGCCAGGGGUAGGCAGAACGAAAAAGUGACAAACCAAUAUAAAUUUUGUAACCUUAGGUUGAUUAGUAUGGAAGUUUUCUUGCUCCCAAUAUUGUAAUUCUCCUUACAUGCGUAUUUCUUAGAUUGUGACUUGCAAAUCGUGACCGACCGAAUCACCACUACGAUUUUUCUUCUUUUUUUAAUGUUUUGCUGCUAUAAUUUCUUUUCUGUAAUGAACAAGUUUCAUGAAAAAGAUCUUUCUAUCCCUCCAAGUCAAGUGAGUUUGCUCUCCAAAAAUAAAAUAAUAAUUUUACUGUGCAAGGUCGAAAUAUAAAUGUGUGCAGUAAAUCAGUGAUCUUUUAGGAUAUUGUAUAAUAAUUUGUUGUUUUACAACCCUUUUAUGUAAUUAUAAUAACUUUGAGGGGUCUAACUCAACUGGUCAUACUCUAGGUUUACUCUCUAAAGGUCACCAGUUCAAGUCCCACAAAUCUCAGGGCCAAUGGAGACUUACAUGAUCGUUAACUUUAAGACCCGUGAAAUUAGUCGAAGUACGCGCAAGCUGGUCCGGACACCCACGUUAAUAAAAAAAAUUAUAAUAGGACUUGUAGACACAUAGUCCACUAUCCAUGUGCGUUGUUGGAAAUGCGGGCCAACCCGCGUUUCCAAAAAGUUCAUUUUGUUUUGCUAAAAAUUAAUUUUUUAUAUAUUUUGGAUCAUUUUGAUGCGCUGAUCUCAAAAAUAAUUUUUAAAAAAUUAAAAAAAUAUUAUUUUAAUAUAUUUCAACAUGAAAAACACUUUAAAAAAUAAUUACUACUACACUUUCAAUUAGACCCAUGUGAUGCAUGCUCGCCUCUCUCUUGCUGUUGUGUGAAAAAGCAUUGAAGGCUAUGUUUGUUUUCCAGAAAAUAGUUUCCGGGAAAUCACUUUCCAAACUUUCUUGUGUUUGUUUACCAUUAUAAAAAUUAGUCAAUGGAAAACACUUUUCGAUCAACGGAAAAUAUUUUUCAGUCAACAGAAAACACUUUCCAGUCAAAUGAAAAUUUGGCUUGGUUUUCAGGAAAGUGUUUUCCUUUUAUUUUUGGGCGGAAAACACUUUCCGGAAGUUGUGAAAAAUUUAGGCUGUGUUUGUUUCCCGGAAAGUGGUUUCCAGAAAACCACUUUCCAAACUUUCCCGUGUUUGUUUGCUAUUAGGAAAGGUGGUCAACGGAAAACACUUUCCAGUCAAAGGAAAAUUUGGCUUGGUUUUCAGGAAAGUGUUUUCCUUUAUUUUGGGCGGAAAACACUUUCUGGAAGUUGUGAAAAAAUUAAAAAUAUCAUAUUAUUUGCUAAUUAUAUCAAAUUUGGUCCUCAAACUUUUGAUUGCUAUAUAUAUUUUGUUUUGAAUAUUUGUUUUUCAAUUUCAUCCUUAAAAUUUAUUUUUUAUAUUAAUUUUGGUUCUCAUUUUUAUAAUUGUUAUUUGCUUUUCCCUUGUUAUUUUUUAAUUGAAAUAUUUUAUCUAUCAAAUUUGAUCCUCAUUCUUUUGAUUGUUACUUAUUUUAUUUGAAAUAAUUUAUGAAAUGUUAAUUAUUAUUAUUUUAAUUUCUUCAUCUUUCAAUUUUUUAUUUUUUAGAUUUGAUCUCUAUUAUUUUGAUUAUUAUUUAUUUUAAUUGAGAUAAUUUAUGAAAUUAUAUUUUUUUUAAUUUCAUUCUCAUUCAACUUUUUAAUUUGUAAGAUUUAUUCAUCAUUAUUUUAAUAAACUUGAAAAAAAUAAAACAUUAAUAAGUUAUUUUCCAGCUCGUUUUCCAUGACAUAACCAAAUACUGGAAAGUGUUUUCCAAUUUAUUUUUCAUUACACUACCAAACAUCGGAAAAUAAUUUACUUUCCCGGAAUUCUCUUUUCAAAAAACAACUAUUUUCUAGCAAACAAACAGGGCCGAAGUCUUCGUUCAAGUUAUGAGUUGCUGUUCCUUUAAAAAAUAUGGGUCCUAGGCUUACAACCAUGGGCGUGCAAGUUCUUUCUCCACUGUUUUUAAAUUGAUUUAUGUAUGGAUUAAAAUUAAAUUUAUUUUUAUAUAAUACCAAGAACAAUUUCCCUAGAUACUAACUUAUUUGUAAGCUGUGCAUGCUAUGUUGCGGAAAUGCAGUCUACUUAUUUUAUAUAAAUGUGUGCGUAUUGGCUGAGUUGUCCAUGAUGUUUUAGUUAGGUGGUUCCAACUAAUUUGAAGACAAAACUAUUAUAGGACAGGAACUUACCUCAAGUUUUAUAAAUUUCAAGAUUAUUAAAAAUUUAUAUAAUUAUUAAUUUCAAAACUUAUAAAAUUAAUCAAAAUAUGUUUAUAUUAGCUUAAACAACAUAUUAAUAAAAAAUAAAAUAUUGAUUUCUUAAUUAAGUGACUUAGUGUGUGAUUUCUUAAUUAAGCGAAGGAGAGUCAUUAUUAUUUGGUAUUCAAACGGGAGAAUCAUUAGCUUAUUUAGCAUUAACGCAACGCCCAAAAGUCUCCAAAAGGUAAGGGGAAAAAACAAAUUUAAAGUCAAAGAUGAAGGGAUCAUUGCAUUAACCAACUUCAAAGAAACUUUAACCAUAUAUGGACGUAUACACACACACUGAUAAAAUAAUAAUAAUAAUAAUAAUAAUAAUAAUAAAGAAGCAUUGGAAAGGAUGUAUUAUGGGUAAUAUAAAAAAAUAAAAUAAAAAGAUAAUUCCCUAAAAGUUUGAAUUUUCUCAAUAUUGCUUUUGGUUAGGUUAUCUAAAUGACCCUGAGGCCACUGAAAGGACUGUAGACAAUGAUGGAUGGUUGCACACCGGCGACAUUGGAUACAUCGACGGAGAUGAUGAGCUCUUUAUCGUUGAUCGAUUGAAAGAAUUGAUUAAAUACAAGGGUUUUCAAGUAGCACCUGCUGAGCUUGAAGCAAUGUUGAUUGCUCAUCCCGACAUCUCUGAUUGUGCUGUAGUACCGUAAGUCCUAUUACAUAUUUGUUUAUCAGUGUGUACAAUCCCAACAAGCUUUAGUAAUAUAAUAUUUCUUGGUUUCCAUUAAGACCUAUGCUUCUAAUAUAUAAUCAGUAGUACCAUUUUUUGUGUGGGUAUUUCAGCAUGAAAGAUGAAGCUGCCGGAGAGGUUCCUAUUGCUUUUGUGGUGCGAGCAAAUGGUUCCAAGAUCACCGAGGACGAAAUCAAACAAUAUAUCUCAAAACAGGUACUAAUUAACAUUUUAUGAAUCAAUUAAAUAGUUUAAAAAUCACAUGUUGAAGGACUUGAUAUUACAUUAGAAUUACAAUUAUAAAAUAUACCUAUAAAUCUCAUGACCAAUAUCAAAUUUCUAUGAAAAGAACUCUUUCAUUUACCAUUUUCCUUUCUCCUCCUUUAUCACUAUCUAUAUUUUUAGAAUUUUAGUUUGAUUCAAAAGUUUAUUUUAUUUAUUUAUUAGUUCAUUGAUGUAAGAGAGAAGAGAGAAAGUCACAAAUAGCAAUGAUAAGGAGAGAAAAUUAUUGGUUGACCACAUUCCAAAAACUAAAAAGAUCAAUCUUGAUGUCAAUGAAUUUCAUUCAAUGAGAGAACUUUCAUUGAGGUGUUUUUGAACCUUCACCUUGCUCAAAAAAUGGAUCGGGAUUGAGAGAAAUUUUUUUAUGGUUUGAUUCUGUAUUUUUAACCUUUUUUGAUUGGAUAAAUUGUUUUUUUUUAAGAUUCCAAGGAUAUUUAUCAAGUGUUUUUAGAUGAAAAUGGGUUGUAAAAUAUAUUUUUAGGCAAAUCCAUUCGAUUUUCUAGAUUCUGGGCAAAUAAAUGAUGCAUGUGUUCUACAGCAAAUAACAUGUUAUAUGUUUCUCCUCUUUUUUUUUUUUCAGAAAAAUAAAGUCAACCACCCUUUAAAAAAUAAAAUAAAAAACUAAAAAAUCCUAAGUGUACGAGCUUGGUCAAGAAGACCCACCCGCUUGUGCUUUGUUCUAGGCAUGUUAGGCAACCUAAGCCCACAUACUUAAAAUUGUUUUAUUUUUUUUUUAAUUUUAUCUUUCAAUAUUAAGUUUUUGUUGAAUUUUUUUAUUGGCUUUCUCCCUCCCAUAUCCUCCUUCAACAUUUGAUUGAUUUUGAAUCCAUUUUUAUAAUUUGUUUCGAUUUGCUUUCUAUAGGUUAUUGCGGUCUCAAAUAAAUAUCCGGUCAUUUAGUUGGUGCUUAAUUUUGCAUCUAUCCAUUUUUAUUUUUAUAUAAUUAAAAAAAUAGUUCUAAAAACAAUUAUUAAACGCAUUGGAGUCCCUGAUUUGAAUAGCAGAUUUGUUAGAGUAACUUAGGUUGAUUGAAAAUUAAGUUUCAUAAUUUGUUUUAGUUUAUUUUCUAUAGGGUUAUCGUGGUCUCAAACAAACAUCUCAGUAAUAGGUUGGUGCUCAAUUUUUCUAGCGUCUAUUUUUUUUAUCAUAUAUUUAAAUUAAAAAAUAGUUUAAUAGUUUAACAAAAAAAAGUUAUUAAACCUAGUAUAGUCCAUGACCCGGAUUGUAGUUUGACAGACUAAGUUGUGAGACCCGGGACAAUCCAUCACUUAUUGUCUUAAUACGUUAGAUGGGUCACGUAGAGACAACUCACAUACUACUUAAUUUGAAACCUAGGCUAAUCAAGGAAUCAGGUCGGGAGGUUACAAGGUUAACCCACUAAACCGAGUUUGAUGACAUUAUCAAGAGUUACUGUAGAUUAUAUAAUUUUUAUUUUUAUUCAAUUUUUUUUGUAUCUGCCCACAGCAUAGCGUAGCCCAAUAAUCUUGUGAUCCGUAUUUGACUUCUAAUUCUAGCUUCAUGGUGUAUGUGAUAUGGCACGUAGCAGUAGCUAUUUAACAAGUAUAUAGAACCACAUUAUUAGAUUAGUAUAAUAUUAAUUCAUCCCUUGGAACAUAUAUCUAUUGUCAAGUAAUUUGCUACGACAUGUUGCUUGCCUUAACUAGAUUUUAGCGAUCUCUAGUCACUAAAAAAACUUAUUCAUGGCUUCAAACAAUCUAAAAAAUAGCUUGUAAAAUCCAUAAUCAACUCGAAAUUAAAAUUUUUUGUGAGCUCAGAUCUACAAUAUAAGACAUGUUCAUGGGAAAAACAAAAUAUAGGAUAAACUCUCCCCGCUAAUAGCAAUCUAUUGACAUCAGAAUCACCAUUUUUCAUGGUUUUAAUUGAUGUAAAUGAUGAUUUUCUCUUUCUACUACUAGAAUUCAACCACUUCCUCUCUUCUCUCUUAAACUAGGGAUCAAAAAAUAAAAAAAAUAAAGUUUUAGACAAAAAAUUACUUUGUUCAUAAUUUUUGAAAAUUAAAGGAACCAAAACUGAACAUUUCACCCAAACUUGUCUAAAUCCUCCUGUUCCCUCCAUGUUUUUCACUUUGAUCCCCUGUUUUUUAAUAUCACAAUUACCUAACAAAUUAACCUAAUUUGGCCUCCAAUUUAGCAAUUUAAGUUUGAAAUUAGAAAAAAAAAGAUUUUGAACAAAAUUUUUUUAUUGUGGAAGUCCAUAAUGAAUUGUGAGAGGAGUUAUAGGGAGCAGGGAUGAACAAUCCAAGCCUUUUAGAGUAUUUGUAAUUCUCCUAAACUUAUUUAAAGCCAUCUAUUUUCUUCAUGUUUUUCACUUUGAUCCCUAUAUUUUAAUAUCAUUAUUUCUUAACAAAUUAACUUAAAUUGACGUCUAAUUUAGCAAUUUAAGGAUGAAAUUUUUUAAAAAAGUUUUAGAAUAAUAUAAAUUCACAAUAAAAGUCCACAGUUAAUUGUGAAAGGGGCUAUAGUGCAUAGAAAGCAGUAUUUUCCUCACUACUUGUAGAGUAUUUGCAAUGAUGAUAUUAAAAGCAUUAAUUUUUCGGAAAUCAUAAACUUGAAACCUAUUUAAAGUUUACAAUAUAUUCAAUAGAAUUUAUACCAUAUACUUUUAUGGGUUAUAUAGUUCGCAUUUUGAUAAUUUAAUUAAAUGGGUGUGAUGAUUUGUUGUGUAGGUGGUCUUUUACAAGAGAAUUAGUCGGGUGUUCUUCACGGAAGCGAUUCCCAAGGCUCCAUCCGGAAAAAUCUUGAGAAAAGACCUAAGAGCAAGGCUUGCAACUGGCGAUCUUCCUCAUUAAAUUCCAACAUGACACAUACAUGCAAAAACAGCAGUAGUCUGAAGUCCAGAGGCAGUAUGUGGUCUUGCUGUGUUUUCCUUUCCUUAUCGGCCCUCCAAAAGGGACAGGAGAACAUAUAGACUGGAUUAUUUCAAUGAUCAGCUUGUUCUUAUCCUUCAAUGCAAGUUGAAUAGAAGAAUGAGCUUUGUAUUAAUUAAUAUGCUCAGGGUAUUGUAGGACAUGUUUUUGACGACGUUAAAAACUUGGGACGGAAAAUUCUGGUUUGUAUAAUUGUAUCAAUUUGCGUUACAUAUAAUAAGUCUCGUUUCCUUUAUUUUCUUAUUAUUUCACAUGAGUUGUAUUUAUUUAUUUAUUAUGUAAUUGGUUUUUUAUUUUUUGGUAUAAUGUUGGAUUUGGCUACACACGCAGGAGUAGUUAAAAUUCCCACUCUCAAAUUCUCCCUCUCCCUCUCAAUGCUUGAUGGUCGCCGGAAUGGAGGCUUCUCUUGAUUAGCCUACCUUUAAAUGAUGCUAUCAAGGUAAGUUGAAGUUAAGCUGAUGUUAUUAUAACUGUUACUUUAGCUAUGAAUAAGAUCUUGUGGCCUAGAAUAUUUAAUGGUUAAGCAAUUAUGAGAUAACUAGAUAAUUUAUCACGCAACAUAGCAGGUUCGAUUAUUUAUUUUUAAUGUAAACAAAUAUUUAAAAAUAUUAACGUGUUUUUCUAACCGAUUUAAUAUUAAAAAAUAAAAUGAAAAAAAAUCAAUUUAAAAAAAAUAAAAAAAACAAAGUUAACCUUUGUCGCACGUCACCCGCGCGGCGUAGUGUGGUGAUUUUUUGUUUUGUUUGCUUGAUUCGUUGGGAGUCGUCACCUGGUAUUUAAUUGAGGGUUACUAGAAAACCCGGAUGCACUGGUCUUGUCAGAGAUUCACGGGUAAAGAACAGGACUGGUUGUAGUUGGGAAGGUAUUAACACCCCGAACACACCCUAUCUAAGAUAAACUGCUUUAUGGCUUUGAUGUAAUUUAAAAAAUAAAAUAUUAGCCAAAUUCUAAAACUUUAAUAAAUUAGUUAUUAAAUGCCAGAAUAUAUGAAAAAACAUAUUCUUAUAUUUUCAUGAAAAAUACAACAUAAUUUUAUUUGUUUGACCAUAUAAAUUAAAACAUUAAAUUCAUUUUUUUAUCUUUUUGAUUCAAUAACAUACAUAAAAAAAAAUACAAACACAAACACAUCUCUUUUUCUAUUUUUUUUUUACCCCCAUUUACAUGUUUCGAAUCACAAAUAUUUAAAAUAAAUCAAACAAACAUAUUACACAAAUUAAAAAUUACAAAAUAGCCCCUAAAGAUCUGAGAAAACUGCUGGGAAGUCUUCUGAACCACCGGAAUAGUGCCGGCGCGUCUUCUCCACGCUGGGGGGUGGCGGCUUAGAGAAGAGAUAAAUUUAGGGUUUCCUUUUUUUUUUCCUCCUCUCCAAACUAGCCCCUCUCCCCUUUGUAAAUCCCCCCCCCUCCCGAAAUUUUUUUUUUUACUUAUAUUUAUAUGUAAAAUGUUGCUUGGUCGUAAAAAAUGGUCCCUCAACUUUAUUUUUCUCUUUUUUUUUGUAAAUUUUGAAUUUUUGAAUUUUUUUUGUAUUUUUUAAAAGCGAACAAUAUCAACAUCAACUCAAUGAGAAAAAUCAAUUAUUUUAAAAACGACGCGUGAAAAUUUGAACACAUUCAUAAGACCUUUAAAAAUUUAAAUUCUUUUGAGACGAUGCUAAAAACGCUAAAAACGAUGCAAAUAUAUUAAAAACAAUUUUUUUGGAUUUUUUUUGUUUUUCGCUAUUUUUGGAUUUUUCAAAAAUUUUAUCAAAUAAAUGGGUCAAAAAUUGGGUAACAACAAAUGCCCCCUCUUUACAAUGCUUACAAAACAAAACUCCUCAAUGUUUUUGCAUAGUAAGCUUUGUAAAGAAAAGAAAAGGAAAAUAAUCUCAUUAUUUUGGGCAACCUGCCCCUUUUGAAGAAAAGUGGUCUAUUUUCAGGGGCGACCAGCCCACACACUCACACUGGUCUAUUUUCACAGGCGACCUGCCCAUACACACUCAAAGUGGUCUAUUUUCAGGAGCGACCAGCCCACACACUCACACUGGUCUAUUUUCACGGGCGACCUAUCCACUCAUACUCACUUUGGUCUAUUUUCAAGGGCGACCUGCCUUUUUGAUUGGGUUUACCUGAGAUCCCAUCUGGCGAUCUAACAAGAACCAAAAUCAGUAUGUAGCUCGGUCAACCUGAAAUCCCAUCUAGCGAUUCCCUUUAACCAAAGCUAAAUUCUGCGUGGUUAGGCUAAACUGAGAUCCCUUCGCCGAUCCCCUUUAACCAGAACCAAAAUCCUUUGUAGUUAGGCUAAAUUGAGAUCCCUUCGCCGAUCCCCUUUAACUAGAACCAAAGUCUGUGUGUGGUUAGACUAAAAUGAGAUCCCUUUCGCUGAUCCCCUUUAACCAAAACCAAAAUCUGUAUGUGGUUAGGCUAAACUAAGAUCCCUUCGCCGAUCCCUUUUAACCAGAACCAAAGUCUGUGUGUGGUUAGGCUAAACUGAGAUCCCUUUCGCCGAUCCUCUUUAACUAGAACCAAAAUCAUGUGUGUGGUUAGGCUAAAUUGAGAUCCCUUCGCCGAUCCCCUUUAACCAGAACCAAAAUCUUUUGUAGUUAGGCUAAACUAAGAUCCUUCCGUCGAUCCCUUUUAACCAGAACCAAAGUUUAUGUGUGGUUAGGCUAAAUUGAGAUCUCUUUCGCCGAUCCCCUUUAACCAGAACCAAAGUCUGUGUGUGGUUAGGCUAAACUGAGAUCCCUUUCGUCGAUCCCCUUUAACCAGAACCAAAAUCCUUUGUAGUUAGGCUAAACUGAGAUCCAUUUCGCCGAUCUCCUUUAAUCAGAACCAAAGUCUGUGUAUGGUUAGGCUAAACUAAGAUCCCUUUCGGCGAUCCCCUUUAACUAGAACCAAAAUAUAUGUGUUUUGGCUAAACUGAGAUCCCUUUGCCGAUCCUCUUUAACUAGAACCAAAAUCUGUGUGUUUUGGCUAAACUGAGAUCCCUUUCGCCGAUCCUCUUUAACCAGAACCAAAGUCUGUAUGUAGCUCGGUCAACCUGGAAUCCCAUCUGACGACUCCUUUCAACCAAAGCUAAAAUCUUCAUGUUGUGGUUAACCUGAGAUUCCUUCUGGCAAUUUCCUUUAACCAAAAAAUAUGUUUCUUCUUCAAGAUGAUAGGGUUCGAAUUGAAGACUCUUCUUCGUUGAUCUUCAUAUUUCUUCGAGAUUUCCCUAAUGUUAGGGUUUAUCUCAUCUUCCUCCCAUUCCAAGGUCAAAACCAUGAUUCUUUGUUGUUCAUCAACUCAAUGAUUCUUUUUUUUUCCCAAUCUUGUUGGACUACAUUGAGGAUUUUUCCUGCAACAAAUCAAAAAUAUAUGCAAUGCUUCGACGUUAGAUGACAUGCAUGCAUCCUCACCUGAAUUGAAAUAUAGGUCCCCCCUCAUCGAUGUUCCAUCAUCACAGGGUGCCUUUGUUUGUUAUUCAAAGCUUUCUUUAUUCUUUCAAUGUAUUGGUUCAUUCGUGUGCUAGCCUUCCACUCAGAUGUAAGUGCAGUGUCUAUCGUGGGCUGUCCAUGACGAUUACUGCUCUCAUUGCUUCUCAAGCUUGAUCAUGCUUCCAAGUGUGGCGUUGCUCGAUUCAUCAUGAAGGAGUUGAACAAAUCAUCCAUCUCCUAGAUUCUCUCAAGAAUUGUCCUUUGAUUGGUUGUGCGUGCUUUGCCAACACCCAUCAAGAUGUUUUCUAGUGUUUAACCUCAUUUUAGAUUGUCAAUCAAUCAUGGACUUGCCCCCAAUUGAAACAAUACUCUUCAGGUAUAUGUUAUCAUCAGUCUUCUUGGAAACUAUCAAAUCAUCCAGACAUGCAUCUCAUAGCUUGCAGUACAAAGGCUCAUGGUUGUAUGCUCAAUAUUCUUCUCAAUAGAUUCCUCUCAACUCUUCUAAUUAGUUUGUGAAAAGAAAUGUCUCGACCUCAUUAAUGAUGUUGCUUUUAUCACCCAAACUCAUGUGGUGAAGUGCAUAUUUGGCUUCAAAACGAAAUGUCCCACAAUUAGUCUUCAGGGUGGGUGCCUUUCCAACAUUCAUUCAAUGCAGUCGUAUGAUAAUAUCUGUCGAUAACCAUGUUUCAAAGGAUGAUAAUAUGAAAUUAUCCUUCAAGUACAACAUUGUUCCACAAUCAGUCUUGGUGGUGUGCAUCUUUUCGCCAUUCAAUUACAUUCAUUUGUGUAUCCUCAUCGAUUGAUAGCCAUGUUUCAAAAGAUAAUGAUAUGAAAAUGUCCUUUAGGUACAUCUUUGGUCCGCCAUUAGUCUUGGUGGUGUGCACAUCUUUUCGAUAUUCAUUCAAAUGCAAUUGUAUGCCCACAUCGGUCGAUAACCAUGUUUCAAAAGAUGACGAUAUAAAGAUGUCCUUCAAGUACAUCUUUGUUUUCUCGAUUGUUGUCAGGGUUCACUAAAUCAUGGACUAUCUUUGAACAAUAUUGCCCCCAGGAUGAUCUGAAUGUGCUUGUUCAUUGAUUAUCUUUCUUUGAACACCAUUGUCUUCAGUUCACUGAUUCAUCAUUUAAUCAUCUUUCAUUGUCUCGUAGCUGUUCUGAAUACUGCUUGUUUUUUCCUUCUCAGGGUGUGGCGUUAAUGUCAUUUCUAUCAAGGAUUUCACAUACUCAAUCGAUGUUCUUCUGUGUUCAAUAAUCUCCCUUGUUUUGGAAUCAACUCUCAUAUUUCAAAGAUCAUGUCUAUUCAAAGUCUAGUUUGUUGAAAUGAAAUCAGAGAUGUCCUUUUUUUGAAAAGACCUUUUGAAAAUCAAGUUUUUUUUUUCAAAUAUCCAACACACGUUAUUUGAAAUAUACAGUCCUUUGAUUGUCAUGUAUUUUGAAAACAGAAAUUGACCCGUUGUAAGACUAAGAUGAACUUUUUUUUUCAUGGUUCUUUGUAUCCAUUUUAGAUUCUGAUUUUGGGUAUAUAUUUUGAUGGUCUGUGAUGAGGUGACCUUUUUUAUGAAUUUCAAAAAACAAGAUGUUUAAGUCAAAACUCAGGCUGUAUCAAAAAAGGUUGUUUCUCUUCUUAGCACUUAUUUUAUCAACAUGCAUAACAACCAAUAGCUUAAUUCAUGAAGUCACGACCCUUAUGGAAAAGCUCUUCAAGUUUUGAGAGCGCCAUUUAUUGGUUCAAAUUGUUACUUGAUUAAAAAGGGCUUUUAAAACCACGUAAUGCAGGCUAUGGUUCAUGGCUAUGAAAGAAAGGAAUUUCAAAGGCUCAAAAGGUGUUUGAGGAUUUCAAAGACCUAGGAUCAACAUCAAAUAUUCAUCAACUCUUUUUUCUAUUGGUGUCUUUGUAGAGGAAACGACAUAUAAUCUUGUUAACCUCAAAGAUCAGACUUCUCUUAAUAUAAAUCAUAAUGCAAAUCCACCUUUCUUUGAUGAAUAACCAACCUCAAUCAUCUGAUAACAUCAGAGGCUUUAUAAUGGAUACCAAAAGUCAUGUUUAUAGCUUAGUAUUUUUUCUAGUAUUGACUUUUGUUGUACCUUUCCUUGAUUGAAAUUUCUUUUGCUCUUCCUAGACUUUGAUAGGCGUUCUCCUUCUUUUAUCUUUGACUUGCCUUUAAGUGAAGGCAAUUUCAACUUAUUUUUAUUUUUAUUUUUUUUUCUCAUAGCCUUCCUCAAAAUUUUCUUAUAUGUCCACAGUCUAUGUGUUUUCUUUUAACCCUCUUUCAAUCAUUAAACUUUUUUUCUAAGCCUUCCCUUUUAUCCAUUAAUUAUAUCAAUGUCUUCAAAAUAUCUCUCAUUUGCCUCCGAUGUGGGGUGUGAUCCUAGUCAGAGUUUUUAUGAAAAGAAUAUUCUAUCCAGCUUAAAAUGAAACUACAAGGGAUAUAAUCUUUAGAAAGUGAAGGGAUAUCAAAGAUGGCCUUUUCUCAUUUCAAGUAAGGUCGGUUAGAACCGAUAAAUUUUGACCUCGUCUAGUAUAAAGAUUGGGACUUGUAAGCAUCAUGAUUCACGAGUGCAUAACUACUGAAAUCCACUACACGUCAUUAUGCAAACUGUUAAAACCUAGUUAUGUGGUGCGUGGUUCAAUUUUGUGUGUGAGCUCAAAAUUUAUGCGGUAAUCUCUUAUUGUUUAUCAUGUCAUUUCAACAAUCAUCGAGUAAUUUCUAUAAUCAAAACACUUUUAAUCUUCAGGAUUGAUUAACCUUUAUCGCAGGUUGGAGUUUGAUCAAAAUAUUUUGUCAUAAUGAAAUGUUAAACAUCUGUUGAUUUCAAAUGAGGUUUUGUUUUAUUUUGAAAAGCCAAAAGACACGUUAGAAAAAAACAAUUUAUGAAAAAACUAUAAAAUCUCAAACAUAUAAAAUCAGGACUUUCAUGAAAAAUAUUAUUGGGAAAUCAUGCCUAAAAAAAAUACACAAAUUGAAUCAAAUAUGUUUUAUUAAUAAAUAAAUAUUUUUAUCCUUUAUUAAUGAAGUUAAAAAAAUAUGCACUAUUUUUCAAAAUAAAGUAAGUAAAAUUUUAGAACAUAAAAUAUAACAUGUCUCUCAAGUUAAAGGACUUGAAUGUUAAUACUAUAGUUAUUAAACCCGGCUCGGGUUGACCCGGUCAAGGGGCCAGGUCCUGGGUUUCAUGGGUAAACCUGGGUCAACUCGGGUCAACUCAGAAAAAUUAAAAAAUAAUUAAAUUUUUAAUAUUUUAUAUGAAAAAAUUAAGAAAAAUAUCCAUGUAAAUAUAGAUUAUACAUAUUGUAAAUAAUGAAGUUUAAAAGAAUAUUUUAAAAAGUUUUUUAUCUCACAUUUAAAAGAUAUUAUGUUAAGCUUUUAAGUUGAAGUAUUUAAACCAAAAAAGUUUCUUAUCCCACAUUGAAAAAACAUAGUUUUUUUCUUGUGAACAUAGAGCAUAUAUAAUAAUGUUAAGCUUUUAUAUAUACUAAUGAGUUUCAAAUCUUACAUUGAAAAAAUAUAGUUUUUUUCUUGUGAAUAUUGAGUAUAUAUACUAAUGGGUUUUAAAUCUCAUAUUAAAAAGAUACUAUGUUAUCCUUUUAAGUUGAAGUAUUUAAACCAAAAAGUUUUUUAUCCCACAUUGAAAAAACAUAAUUUUUUUCUUGGGAACAUAGAGUAUAUAUACUAAUGGGUUUCAAAUCCCAUAUUUGAAAAAAAAAAAAAAAACCAGGUCUGGCCGAUUCUCACCCGGAUCACGGGUUGACCUGCCGGCUCGACUCGGUUUGAUCGGGUCGUUGCACUAACCAUUCUUUUGAAAAAUCCAGAGUGGUCUAGCUCCCAGAUCAGCCGGAUCCCGGAUCAACCCGUCAGGCCAGUUAGGAUUUAAUAACACUGGUUAAUACAAUACUGAGCAGAGAUACCUCGUUAUUAACAAAUUGACGCAACUAAUCAAAGCUCAAUAGUAGAUAUACGCAAAACAUAAUUAACCACUUUUUAGUUCUUACUAUUAAAGUGUUCACAUGUUGUCACGUGAUGUAAUAGAUAUUAGAGUAAAUAUUUAUAAGAAAGACAAUGAUUGGAUUUAUGGUGGAGCAAUGUAUUGUUUUAGUCAAAAUUAUCUUAUCAUAUUUUUCUUUUGUUUUGAGAAUUAAAUAUUUUUUUAUUAGUGUCAUAAUUUAUUGCAUAAAAAAUAAUGAUAGUUAAAAAAAAUAUGUUAUUGGUGGCUCUAGUGGCAACUAGAUCAAGGUCCUGUUACUUCAAGAGAAGCUUGUAAGAAUUCUAAAGAUUUGAAUUAAAAAAAACUUUAUUUUUUAUUCAUGUAUUUUUUUUUUUAUGAAAACAUAUAUUUUUUAUUAGAAUUUUUUUUAAAUAAGAACUUAUUAUAAUUAUAAAAGCAAGUUUCAAUAAAAAAACAUUAAAAAAAUAAUUAUGAGACGAUCAUUUAUGCACUUGUAUAAAUAAAUAUAAGAAAUUUACAAUAAAAAAUAUAAAAAAUUGAUAUUAUCUUUUUAUUAAAUAUUAAUGAGCAAUUUUUUAAAAUUAAGAUUUGUAUAUUAAGUUAAUAUAUAAUUAUUCAUAAAGUAAUUAUUAAUAUUAUCAUAAAAACUCUAAUCUUCUUGAAACUAUGACAUAAUUAUUUUAAUAUUAUUUUAAUAAAUUUAUUUAAAUAUAGUUUUAUAAUAAAAUUUAAAACUAAAUAAAAUAAAAAAAAAAGAAAAAAGUUAAGGGUUAUUUAACCAAAAAAGAAGAAGAAGAAGCUAGGUAUGUUUUGGUCUAAAAGAUGGACCAAUGUGACUAGUUUUCUUUUCUUUGCUUUUCUCCCUAUACGAGCACUUAAUUCUUUUAAUAUAACGGAUGACUUGUAGUCUGUCUUCUUGAUUAUUAACAUCAAGAUCAGUAUGUUUGUAAUCGGUAAGUCUUUGGCCAAACACUUUAUUGUUUUUUGGUGAUUUUCUUUUGUCUUUUCUUGAUAUUAAUGAAUUAAAUGUUAUAAAAAUAAAGUUUGAUAUUAAAAUAUAAAGUAUAGGAAAAUAAGGAUCAAAUAAUAUAUAAAUUAAAAUUUUAAAGAUUAAAUUGAAUUUCUUUUGAUUUCUGAAUAGUAUAAAUAGAAAAGGGUUUUAUUUUUGUUAAAUUCAACCUUUAUUUUUUUAAUUUUUUUAAAUAAUAAUAUAAUAUUUUAUCUCGGAUCAUCUAUCUUUAAUUUAACAUCGAACACUUUAUAUAUAUACCUGAGGGGAAAAUUUGAAAACAUAAAAUCAUAUUAAGAUGAGAUUUACAAAGAAAUGAAGUUGGAUAAUCAAAAUAAAAAAAAUACACAAAAGAAAUGAUACUAAAACACUUAUCUCUUUUAAUUUAUCUAUAAUUAUAAUAUAUUGUUGCAAUGGCUAUGAUAGCAACAAGAUGGCCUUUAUUUUUCAAUCAGCUAAUUAAAAGUGAUCCUUUUGGGCAUUGGAGUUUUGUCUUCCAUCAAAAACGUCACUUGGCAGCGCACCCAUAUCACCAACUAGACCCCUCACCAACCCCCAUUUUUAUACUAAUAUUUAAAGGAGUCCAACUUAGGUGAUAAAAAUCAUCAAACCAACCUCAAAAUCUUACCCUAAAGCAGAAUUUCUUUUCUUUUCUUUUCUCUAAAAACCAGCAUAUUUUAGAAAAAUAUUAGCAAACUAGCUUAUAUAGAAACGUUUCUAAAUACUCCCAAGACAGUUGGCGCAAAAAUUCACAUCACCGUACUUUGAAAAUGAAUUCUUGUAUUAACAUCACCGUACUUUGAAAAUGAUCUAUAGCAACUAAAAUUAUUUAGAGUAACUAGAGAGGUAUAAGUUAAUAAAAUUAAUUAGUUAGAUUUUGAAUUUGUUGUUUAAAAGUUAUUAGUUUGAGUUUUAUAAUAAAGAGAUUGUUUAAGAAAUGCCCUUGUUAGUUUUUAGCUUCAAUUAAGACCUCUUUGCUUGGAUUGCGUUAGUGACAAUUAAAUAGAAAAAUCCUCAGAAACUCCUCCUCACCGGUUCCCCUCUACCAUCACCUACUUGUAUAUUACCUCAACCAGAAAUCAAACCAAGUCCAAGCCAGGGAAGCAAGUAACCAUACACCUACCUUCUCCUUUGCUUCCCAAAGAUCAUUCUCUCUUUCAUUCUCUGUUCCAGACAAACAAUGGAGGCGGAAAAUGAUCAAGCACAAGAAUUCAUUUUCAGGUCCAAACUCCCUGAUAUCCAC